rnacentral:rRNA from 1 species
AUUGAACGCUGGCGGCAGGCCUAACACAUGCAAGUCGAACGAGUGGCGGACGGGUGAGUAAUGUCUGGGAAACUGCCUGAUGGCGGGGGAUAACUACUGGAACCGGUAGCUAAUACCGCAUACCAUCGGAUGUGCCCAGAUGGGAUUAGCUAGUAGGUGGGGUAAAGGCUCACCUAGGCGACGAUCCCUAGCCGGUCUGAGAGGAUGACCGGCCACACUGGAACUGAGACACGGUCCAGACUCCUACGGGAGGCAGCAGUGGGGAAUAUGGCACAAUGGGCGCAAGCCUGAUGGAGCCAUGCCGCGUGUGUGAAGAAGGCCUUCGGGUUGUAAAGUACUUUCAGCGGGGAAGCGUUACCCACACAGAAAGCAACGGCUAACUCCGUGCCAGCAGCCGCGGUAAUUC